rnacentral:rRNA from 1 species
CCUACGGGUGGCAGCAGUGGGGAAUAUUGGACAAUGGGCGAAAGCCUGAUCCAGCCAUGCCGCGUGUGUGAAGAAGGCCUUCGGGUUGUAAAGCACUUUCAGUGGGGAAGAAAGCCUUGGGGCUAAUACCCUCGAGGAAGGACAUCACCCACAGAAGAAGCACCGGCUAACUCCGUGCCAGCAGCCGCGGUAAUACGGAGGGUGCGAGCGUUAAUCGGAAUUACUGGGCGUAAAGCGCGCGUAGGCGGUCUGAUAAGCCGGUUGGGAAAGCCCCGGGCUCAACCUGGGAACGGCAUCCGGAACUGUCAGGCUAGAGUGCAGGAGAGGAAGGUAGAAUUCCCGGUGUAGCGGUGAAAUGCGUAGAGAUCGGGAGGAAUACCAGUGGCGAAGGCGGCCUUCUGGACUGACACUGACGCUGAGGUGCGAAAGCGUGGGUAGCAAACAGGAUUAGAUACCCUUGUAGUC